rnacentral:rRNA from 2 species
UGCUGACGAGUGGCGAACGGGUGAGUAAUGCAUCGGAACGUGCCCAGUAGUGGGGGAUAGCCCGGCGAAAGCCGGAUUAAUACCGCAUACGACCUACGGGUGAAAGCGGGGGACCGCAAGGCCUCGCGCUAUUGGAGCGGCCGAUGUCAGAUUAGGUAGUUGGUGGGGUAAAGGCCUACCAAGCCUGCGAUCUGUAGCUGGUCUGAGAGGACGACCAGCCACACUGGGACUGAGACACGGCCCAGACUCCUACGGGAGGCAGCAGUGGGGAAUUUUGGACAAUGGGCGCAAGCCUGAUCCAGCCAUGCCGCGUGCGGGAAGAAGGCCUUCGGGUUGUAAACCGCUUUUGUCAGGGAAGAAAUCUUCUGGGUUAAUACCUCGGGAGGAUGACGGUACCUGAAGAAUAAGCACCGGCUAACUACGUGCCAGCAGCCGCGGUAAUACGUAGGGUGCAAGCGUUAAUCGGAAUUACUGGGCGUAAAGCGUGCGCAGGCGGUUAUGUAAGACAGAUGUGAAAUCCCCGGGCUUAACCUGGGAACUGCAUUUGUGACUGCAUAGCUUGAGUGCGGCAGAGGGGGAUGGAAUUCCGCGUGUAGCAGU